rnacentral:tRNA from 1 species
UAAAAGUUAGUUAAUUAUUAUAACAUAAGUUUGUCACUCUUAAAUAAUCUUUUUAAGAUACUUUUAA